UAAAUGGCUUUUCUCAAAGCCACAUGCUAUAGCUGGCAAGACACUCU
rfam:Neotoma lepida isolate 417 scaffold_22075, whole genome shotgun sequence.